CUGAAAUGAAUCUUCGAUACCAUGACGCAGUUUG
rnacentral:sRNA from 1 species